rnacentral:rRNA from 1 species
AGAGUUUGAUCCUGGCUCAGAGCGAACGCUGGCGGCAGGCCUAACACAUGCAAGUCGAGCGCCCCGCAAGGGGAGCGGCAGACGGGAGAGUAACACGUGGGAACGUACCCUUCAGUUCGGAACAACCCAGGGAAACUUGGGCUAAUACCGAAUACGUCCGUAAGGAGAAAGAUUUAUCGCUGAAGGAUCGGCCCGCGUCUGAUUAGCUUGUUGGUGAGGUAACGGCUCACCAAGGCUACGAUCAGUAGCUGGUCUGAGAGGAUGAUCAGCCUCACUGGGACUGAGACACGGCCCAGACUCCUACGGGAGGCAGCAGUGGGGAAUAUUGGACAAUGGGCGCAAGCCUGAUCCAGCCAUGCCGCGUGGAUGAUGAAGGCCUUAGGGUUGUAAAAUCCUUUCGGCGGGGAAGAUAAUGACGGUACCCGCAGAAGAAGCCCCG